GAAGGGAGCUUGCUCCCUGAUUUAGCGGCGGACGGGUGAGUAAUGCCUAGGAAUCUGCCUGGUAGUGGGGGAUAACGUUCCGAAAGGAACGCUAAUACCGCAUACGUCCUACGGGAGAAAGCAGGGGACCUUCGGGCCUUGCGCUAUCAGAUGAGCCUAGGUCGGAUUAGCUAGUUGGUGAGGUAAUGGCUCACCAAGGCGACGAUCCGUAACUGGUCUGAGAGGAUGAUCAGUCACACUGGAACUGAGACACGGUCCAGACUCCUACGGGAGGCAGCAGUGGGGAAUAUUGGACAAUGGGCGAAAGCCUGAUCCAGCCAUGCCGCGUGUGUGAAGAAGGUCUUCGGAUUGUAAAGCACUUUAAGUUGGGAGGAAGGGCAGUAAGCUAAUACCUUGCUGUUUUGACGUUACCGACAGAAUAAGCACCGGCUAACUUCGUGCCAGCAGCCGCGGUAAUACGAAGGGUGCAAGCGUUAAUCGGAAUUACUGGGCGUAAAGCGCGCGUAGGUGGUUCGUUAAGUUGGAUGUGAAAGCCCCGGGCUCAACCUGGGAACUGCAUCCAAAACUGGC
rnacentral:rRNA from 1 species